UAACACAUGCAAGUCGAACGGAAAGGCCCUGCUUUUGUGGGGUGCUCGAGUGGCGAACGGGUGAGUAACACGUGAGUAACCUGCCCUUGACUUUGGGAUAACUUCAGGAAACUGGGGCUAAUACCGGAUAGGAGCUCCUGCUGCAUGGUGGGGGUUGGAAAGUUUCGGCGGUUGGGGAUGGACUCGCGGCUUAUCAGCUUGUUGGUGGGGUAGUGGCUUACCAAGGCUUUGACGGGUAGCCGGCCUGAGAGGGUGACCGGCCACAUUGGGACUGAGAUACGGCCCAGACUCCUACGGGAGGCAGCAGUGGGGAAUAUUGCACAAUGGGCGGAAGCCUGAUGCAGCAACGCCGCGUGCGGGAUGACGGCCUUCGGGUUGUAAACCGCUUUCGCCUGUGACGAAGCGUGAGUGACGGUAAUGGGUAAAGAAGCACCGGCUAACUACGUGCCAGCAGCCGCGGUGAUACGUAGGGUGCGAGCGUUGUCCGGAUUUAUUGGGCGUAAAGGGCUCGUAGGUGGUUGAUCGCGUCGGAAGUGUAAUCUUGGGGCUUAACCCUGGGCGUGCUUUCGAUACGGGUUGACUUGAGGAAGGUAGGGGAGAAUGGAAUUCCUGGUGGAGCGGUGGAAUGCGCAGAUAUCAGGAGGAACACCAGUGGCGAAGGCGGUUCUCUGGGCCUUUCCUGACGCUGAGGAGCGAAAGCGUGGGGAGCGAACAGGCUUAGAUACCCUGGUAGUCCACGCUGUAAACGGUGGGUACUAGGUGUGGGGUCCAUUCCACGGGUUCCGUGCCGUAGCUAACGCUUUAAGUACCCCGCCUGGGGAGUACGGCCGCAAGGCUAAAACUCAAAGGAAUUGACGGGGCCCCGCACAAGCGGCGGAGCAUGCGGAUUAAUUCGAUGCAACGCGUAGAACCUUACCUGGGUUUGACAUGGAUCGGGAGUGCUCAGAGAUGGGUGUGCCUCUUUUGGGGUCGGUUCACAGGUGGUGCAUGCCUGUCGUCAGCUCGUGUCGUGAGAUGUUGGGUUAAGUCCCGCAACGAGCGCAACCCUUGUUCACUGUUGCCAGCACGUUAUGGUGGGGACUCAGUGGAGACCGCCGGGGUCAACUCGGAGGAAGGUGGGGAUGACGUCAAGUCCUCAUGCCCCUUAUGUCCAGGGCUUCACGCAUGCUACAAUGGCUGGUACAGAGAGUGGCGAGCCUGUGAGGGUGAGCGAAUCUCGGAAAGCCGGUCUCAGUUCGGAUUGGGGUCUGCAACUCGACCUCAUGAAGUCGGAGUCGCUAGUAAUCGCAGAUCAGCAACGCUGCGGUGAAUACGUUCCCGGGGCUUGUACACACCGCCCGUCAAGUCAUGAAAGUUGGUAACACCCGAAGCCGGUGGCCUAACCGUUGUGGGGGAGCCGUCGAAGGUGGGACUGGUGAUUAGG
rnacentral:rRNA from 1 species